rnacentral:lncRNA from 1 species
UUUUUUUCCUCAGUGCCAGGGAUCAGACCUGACACGUGCUCUGCAUUCAACUUCAUCUCCAUCCCUUGCAUCUGACAUUUUCUUACACUCCAAGCCCACCAGCAUGGAUUGGUAUUUACAUUUGCAGAAGUUCCUGGCCCAAACGUCCCAGUGAUGGGUGUUGAAGGAAAAAUCAGAGUGCCCUCCUCUUACACGGUAAUAAAUGGAAAAUGAAGGCCUCACACUUAAAAGAAA